AUUGAACGCUGGCGGCAGGCCUAACACAUGCAAGUCGAACGAGUGGCGGACGGAUGAGUAAUGUCUGGGAAACUGCCUGAUGGAGGGGGAUAACUACUGGAAACGGUAGCUAAUACCGCAUACCAUCGGAUGUGCCCUGAUGGGAUUAGCUAGUAGGUGGGGUAAAGGCUCACCUAGGCGACGAUCCCUAGCUGGUCUGAGAGGAUGACCAGCCACACUGGAACGGAGACACGGUCCAGACGCCUACGGGAGGCAGCAGUGGGGAAUAUUGCACAAUGGGCGCAAGCCUGAUGCAGCCAUGCCGCGGGUAUGAAGAAGGCCUUCGGGUUGUAAAGUACUUUCAGAGGGGAGGCGUUACCCGCAGAAGAAGCACCGGCUAACUCCGUGCCAGCAGCCGCGGUAAUUC
rnacentral:rRNA from 1 species